rnacentral:rRNA from 1 species
AAAUUCUAACAGAACUGGGCCAAACCGUGCUCCUUGGACAGAACAAGGGCAGCGUUACCGCGAGGUUAAGCCAAUCCCACAAAUCUGUUCCUCAGUUCGGAUCGCAGUCUGCAACUCGACUGCGUGAAGCUGGAAUCGCUAGUAAUCGCGGAUCAGCAUGCCGCGGUGAAUACGUUCCCGGGCCUUGUACACACCGCCCGUCACACCACGAGAGUUUGUAACACCCGAAGUCGGUGAGGUAACCUUUAUGGAGCCAGCCGCCGAAGGUGGGACAGAUGAUUGGGGUGAAGUCGUAACAAGGUAGCCGUAUCGGAAGGUGCGGUUGAUUUCACCUCUACGUU